rnacentral:antisense_RNA from 1 species
AUUGAUUGUCCUCAUCCUGCAACUGUACUUGCCCAACCGAUAUUUAUUGUUGCCUGCAGUGUCCUGGGUGCCUACCCAGGGGCACAGAACUGGAUCCCACUCAGACCCUGCCUGCCCUCAGGUUGCUUGAAGAUGAACAGAGAGAUCGGACCUCUGCAUGAAGCCAGACUGCUCAUCAUUCCAGACAUCUUCAGCUGCUACACCCAGAACAAGCAUUCGAAAUAUGAACAGGAUGGUGAGCCAGAUCUUUCCAAUCAUGGUGGAGUGGAUGUGAACUUCCUCCAGAGUAUCUCCAAGGAGAUUCCAGUCCCCCAUGUUUAUUUAGUCAGCCAUCUUAGCUCUGAUCCACAUCAAAUAAGAGGCAGAUAAAUUCUUCCAUUCUGAAGGGAGCACUAUUUCUUAAAGCAAACCUAUGGUGAAAAUAAUAACAAUAUGUCACUUC